UUACUUUGCGUGUGAACGAACGCCUGGUAAAGAUCCCUGCAGAGGAGGGGAUCCGGCAAAUCCCGAAAAUAUUCCUUGAGGAGCGCCGCCACGUCGUGCGGACACUGAUCCACGCCGAUUUUCGACUCCCGUCCGCAGUCGAAAUCUUCUCGCAGCUUGAACGGUGACACCCGGAACACACCGAGGGUGUGGAGGCCGCUGUUCUCGAUGUGUUUUAUGCACUGCUGGACUAUCCAGGGCACCGAAUCCCAUUCGCCGGGGGUCCCGCCGCUCCCUCCGCCGUCGCUGAGUUCGAGCAUACCGGAAUCGCUGCUCGUCAACGCUCCACCUUUCGAAGCGGCGGUCGGAACUUCUAUCAAACUCGUGAAACUGGCUCUGCUGCCGUGUCUGCUGUUUCUGGUCAGACUUCCGACGUCGCUCGCUUCGCCCGCAGCCGCUGCUACCCUCGCAAUUCUGUCGUUCUCCAGGCAUUGGGACAAAGGAAUACCAAAGACCAAACCUCCGGCCGAUUCUGUGGGAUGAAAUAACGACGAACAUUGUCACAAACUUUCCAGGGACCCCGACAGAGGUAAUUCGAAAUUAUAUUCCACGCUCCCCCUCCUUCUUCUUCCCCCCAGCGCCAUUUUGUUUUUCAUUUUUUCCUCCCUUAUCCGUGCACGCGUUUUACUUCUCCGACAAACCGAAGAAAGUACUUCGCUCAACUUCGGAUCGUCGUGCCAAGAUCACGUAAUCUACGACGAAUACCUGAGCCUCGAGUAAAAUUAUAUACAUCUUUGGGAAUCGGUGGUUGUUGCAUCGGUCGUUGGAAAAGUAGAGAAAGUUUGAUCCAGAAAUCGUAGAAAGAAUCGGAGAAAAGAAAAUGGCAGCUUAUCGCAACGGCGUAUCAGGCGAAGGAAAUAUUUCAUACAAGAUUCAGAAUUGAAAUAACAACCGCUAGAAGAUGAAGAAGAAAAGGAGAAUCCGGGAGAAACCGGUCGCCGUAUCCCACAAUUGUAACGAUAUCGUGGGACGAUUUCGGUCGCCAUGGGAUCAAUCUCGACCGUGGCGAUAGCCCGAGAAGGAUUGAAUUUCUUUCUUACCCGUAGGUGGCCUGAUAUGGACCCCCAAAUUUAAGGCCUGCAAUUUAGCAACAGCCACUUGACAAAGAACGCGUCGUUCUACGUCAGAAAGUGCGCGUAACGAGGUAUCUUGAAGAGUGACGCGUCUUCCUCCUGCACCGGCCCAGCUACCAAUCUGCUCCCGUGGUGGACCACGCUGCUGGACGAUUUGCUUUUCUGCAUCGCUGAGCCACCUGAGGAAUUCAACGUCGUCAUAGCGGGUGAACCUGGUGCCGAAUGUGGCUUAUCUCUGUUAGAAUUGGAA